CAGAGGGUGCGAGCGUUAAUCGGAAUUACUGGGCGUAAAGCGUGCGUAGACGGCUAUCUAAGUCGGGUGUGAAAGCCCCGGGCUCAACCUGGGAAUUGCAUUCGAGACUGAAUAGCUAGGGUACGGUAGAGGGAAGUGGAAUUUCCGGUGUAGCGGUGAAAUGCGUAGAUAUCGGAAGGAACAUCAGUGGCGAAAGCGACUUCCUGGACCAGUACCGACGUUCAGGCACGAAAGCGUGGGGAGCAAACAGGAUUAGAUACCCUGGUAGUCCACGCCAUAAACGAUGAGGACUAGACGUUGGAGGGGUAAGCCUUUCAGUGUCGUAGCUAACGCGCUAAGUCCUCCGCCUGGGGAGUACGGCCGCAAGGUUG
rnacentral:rRNA from 1 species